rnacentral:lncRNA from 1 species
CUGAGGUUUGGAUACAAAGUUCCAAACAUGCAUCACAAAGUUCUCCAACGAUUUAGCAUUAGGAUUAUCGCCUAUAACAUAUCCUAUUAAAGCAUUCACCCAGUAAUCUACCUGAGAUUGUAGAUCCUCCACACUAAUUUUAACCACUUUCUGUCCAUCUCUUUCAAUCGAGGGAACAAAUGAAAGAGAUUUACCCAUUUGUGCAUUCCUAUUCCCUCUGACAACUUCACCAGCAUUUUGUACUGAUUUUGCAGGCUCAAUUACUUCAGAAAAUUGUAAUCUCCUCGCAGUUGAGUUAAUCAUCUCU